GACGUAGGGCGCGAGCGUUGUCCGGAUUUAUUGGGCGUAAAGAGCUCGUAGGCGGCUUGUCGCGUCGUCCGUGAAAACCUGCAGCUCAACUGCAGGCUUGCGGUCGAUACGGGCAGGCUGGAGUUCGGUAGGGGAGACUGGAAUUCCUGGUGUAGCGGUGAAAUGCGCAGAUAUCAGGAGGAACACCGGUGGCGAAGGCGGGUCUCUG
rnacentral:rRNA from 1 species